GUAGGAAGCUGAGAGCUUCAUGCACAAGGGAAAGCUUUGCCAUCAUAAGAAAUGGAGCACAACUUCGUUGCUCCACCAGUGUACUGGGAAGUGAAGGACAUCACUGGACAGCCAGUACUUCGGAAAAUCGAGUUAUUGACUUAGGUGUUAAAAAAGCCACGUGGAAAGGUAAUAAGAAUAAACACCUCACAGCCUUGCAGGCUGCACUUGGGGAAGAGAAACGUUGACCUUGUCUUGACAACCCUGAACUGACAGCAUUUUCAUUCAUUUCUGAUUUUGAACACUAAAAAUGAAUUAGUAAGGCAUGUUCUUGAUGGGUCUUGUUGCCAGCUUCCAGUAUCCAACCAUUCUGCCCCCAACCCACUUUAAAAGUAAUGUGAAUCUGAAUCUGCAUCUCUAAAAGCAACAGGACUUGGGGGGAACAAGAAGCUAAGCUUGAGAACAAAGCCUAAAGCGUCUUCCAUAAAUAGUCUCAGCUAGAAAAAUAGCAGGUUAACUCCAUAUCCAAAAAGGAACUGAAAAUUGCUACAAGUUUGAUCACAUGGUGGUAUUUCAAAAGCCCAAAACAGACCAUUAACAGAUAUCUCAUGAGGGACAGGGCUACAGCUGAUCUAACAUUAUUAUGCCAAUGACUAGGCAGAGCUAUCUCAAUUUGCUUAAUUACCAUUCUUACUGUUUUACUUCUAUCUCACCCCUCAAUACUUCCAGGCAGGGUGAGUUAGCAAGGAAAUAAACUUGUUUUGGUACACACUUUAUCUCCGCACAACAUUUGGAGAAAUCUAUGGAGAAUCCUUUAAACAAGUCAUAUUGUAAACAGGUCAAAGUAUUAGAUUUUCCACUGUUAUUACCAAGUGUCAUUAACAUCUUCAUACUUCAUUGCUAAGAACUUCCAGCUAUUCAAAUGGAAAGGCAAUGAAACGUGGUAAUAGAGUAAGUAAAGUGAA